rnacentral:rRNA from 1 species
UGGGGAAUUUUGCACAAUGGGGGAAACCCUGAUGCAGCGACGCCGCGUGAUUUAGAAGGCCUUCGGGUUGUAAAAAUCUUUUCUAUGGGAAGAAAAUGACAGUACCAUAGGAAUAAGGACCGGCUAAUUACGUGCCAGCAGCCGCGGUAAUACGUAAGGUCCGAGCGUUGUCCGGAAUCAUUGGGCGUAAAGGGUACGUAGGCGGGUAAGCAAGUUAGAAGUGAAAUCCUAUAGCUCAACUAUAGUAAGCUUUUAAAACUGCUCAUCUUGAGGUAUGGAAGGGAAAGUGGAAUUCCUAGUGUAGCGGUGAAAUGCGCAGAGAUUAGGAGGAAUACCGGUGGCGAAGGCGACUUUCUGGCCAUAACCUGACGCUGAGGUACGAAAGCGUGGGUAGAAAACAGG